UACGUAGGGCGCAAGCGUUUGUCCGGAAUUAUUGGGCGUAAAGAGCUCGUAGGCGGCCUGUUGCGUCCGCUGUGAAAUCCCGGGGCUCAACCCCGGGCGUGCAGUGGAUACGGGCUGGCUGGAGGCAGGCAGGGGAGAACGGAAUUCCUGGUGUAGCGGUGAAAUGCGCAGAUAUCAGGAGGAACACCGGUGGCGAAGGCGGUUCUCUGGGCCUGUACUGACGCUGAGGAGCGAAAGCGUGGGGAGCGAACAGG
rnacentral:rRNA from 1 species